rnacentral:lncRNA from 1 species
AUGAUCUGGUGGAGGUAUCAUCUGGUGGAGGUCCUCCUGGUGGAGGUAUCAUCUGGUGGAGGUCCUCCUGGUGGAGGUUUCAUCUGGUGGAGGUCCUCCUGGUGGAGGUCCUCCUGGUGGAGGUAUCAUCUGGUGGAGGUCCUCCUAGUGGAGGUCCUCCUGGUGGAGGUCGGUCUGGUGGAGGUCCUCCUGGUGGAGGUAUCAUCUGGUGGAGGUCCUCCUAGUGGAGGUCCUCCUGGUGGAGGUCAGUCUGGUGGAGGUCCUCCUGGUGGAGGUCCUCCUGGUGGAGGUCAGUCUGGUGGAGGUCAGUCUGGUGGAGGUCCUCCUGGUGGAGGUAUCAUCUGGUGGAGGUCCUCCUGGUGGAGGUAUCAUCUGGUGGAGGUCCUCCUAGUGGAAGUCCUCCUGGUGGAGGUCAGUCUGGUGGAGGUCCUCCUGGUUGAGGUCAGUCUGGUGGAGGUCCUCCUGGUGGAGGUCAGUCUGGUGGAGGUCCCCCUGGUGGAGGUCCUCCUGGUGGAGGUAUCACCUGGUGGAGGUCCUCCUGGUGGAAGUCCUCCUGGUGGAGGUCAGUCUGGUGGAGGUCCUCCUGGUGGAGGUCCCCCUGGUGGAGGUAUCAUCUGGUGGAGGUCCUCCUGGUGGAGGUAUCACCUGGUGGAGGUCCUCCUGGUGGAGGUGGUCCUCCUGGCGGAGGUCAGUCUGGCCCUGUCGUGGAUACUGAGGCCUGGGGCCCUUCAGACCCUCCCCCAUCAGGGUGCUCAUCUCUGGGGGAGGAGUGGUGGUCCUGGCCCGCUCUGGAGGAGGGGGCUGUGGUCUCGGGGGAGGCGCUGUGAGCUCCUUCCUGGGGCGUACAGCCCGGAUGGUUCUUCCGGAAGUGUUGGUUCAGAAUGGCCUGGAAGGGAAAGCUCUUCCCACAGAGGUGGCAGUGGAAGGGCUUGUUCCCGGUGUGCUUCCGGAUGUGGUACUCCAGCUGGUCUUUGCGGGUGUACUUCUUCCCACAGAUGCGGCAGACGAAGGGCGUGA